rnacentral:rRNA from 1 species
GACGAACGCUGGCGGCGUGCCUAAUACAUGCAAGUUGAGCGCUGAAGGUUGGUACUUGUCCCAACUGGAUGACCAGCGGACGGGUGAGUAACGCGAGGGGACUCUGCCUUUGAGCGGGGGACAACAUUUGGAAACGAAUGCUCAUACCGCAUAAAAACUUUAAACACAAGUUUUAAGUUUGAAAGAUGCAAUUGCAUCACUUAAAGCUGAUCCCGCGUUGUAUUAGGUAGUUGGUGAGGUAAAGGCUCACCAAGGCGAUGAUACAUAGCCGACCUGAGAGGAUGAUCGGCCACACUGGAACUGAGACACGGCCCAGACUCCUACGGGAGGCAGCAGUAGGGAAUCUUCGGCAAUGGACGAAAGUCUGACCGAGCAACGCCGCGUGAGUGAAGAAGGUUUUCGGAUCGUAAAACUCUGUUGGUAGAGAAGAACGUUAGUGAGAGUGGAAAGCUCAUCAAGUGACGUUAACUACCCAGAAAGGGACGGCAAACUACUG